rnacentral:rRNA from 1 species
GAUGAACGCUGGCGGCGUGCCUAAUACAUGCAAGUCGAGCGAACAGACGAGGAGCUUGCUCCUCUGACGUUAGCGGCGGACGGGUGAGUAACACGUGGAUAACCUACCUAUAAGACUGGGAUAACUUCGGGAAACCGGAGCUAAUACCGGAUAAUAUAUUGAACCGCAUGGUUCAAUAGUGAAAGACGGUUUUGCUGUCACUUAUAGAUGGAUCCGCGCCGCAUUAGCUAGUUGGUAAGGUAACGGCUUACCAAGGCAACGAUGCGUAGCCGACCUGAGAGUGUGAUCGGCCACACUGGAACUGAGACACGGUCCAGACUCCUACGGGAGGCAGCAGUAGGGAAUCUUCCGCAAUGGGCGAAAGCCUGACGGAGCAACGCCGCGUGAGUGAUGAAGGUCUUCGGAUCGUAGAACUCUGUUAUUAGGGAAGAACAAAUGUGUAAGUAACUAUGCACGUCUUGACGGUACCUAAUCAGAAAGCCACGGCUGACUACGUG